GUAGCGGUGAAAUGCAUAGAUAUCACGCAGAACUCCCGAUUGCGAAGGCAGCAUACCGGCACCCAACUGACGCUGAAGCACGAAAGCGUGGGUAUCGAACAGGAUUAGAUACCCUGGUAGUCCGCGCAGUAAACGAUGAAUACUAAUUGUUUGGCAAAAAUGAUUGCUGAGUGAUACAGCGAAAGCGUUAAGUAUUCCACCUGGGGAGUACGCCGGCAACGGUGAAACUCAAAGGAAUUGACGGGGGCCCGCACAAGCGGAGGAACAUGUGGUUUAAUUCGAUGAUACGCGAGGAACCUUACCCGGGCUCAAACGACAGGGGAAUAUGUCCGAAAGGAUAUAGCUAGUAAUAGUCGCUGUCGAGGUGCUGCAUGGUUGUCGUCAGCUCGUGCCGUGAGGUGUCGGCUUAAGUGCCAUAACGAGCGCAACCCCUAUUGAUAGUUGCUAACAGGUCAAGCUGAGGACUCUAUCGAGACUGCCGGCGCAAGCUGUGAGGAAGGCGGGGAUGACGUCAAAUCAGCACGGCCCUUACGUCCGGGGCGACACACGUGUUACAAUGGCAGGUACAGCGGGAAGCCAGGUGGUGACACCGAGCAGAACCCGAAAACCUGUCUCAGUUCGGAUUGGAGUCUGCAACUCGACUCCAUGAAGCUGGAUUCGCUAGUAAUCGCGCAUCAGCCAUGGCGCGGGAAUACUGUCCCGUU
rnacentral:rRNA from 1 species